GACAGAGGUGCCAAGCGUUAGGCGGAAUCACUGGGCUUAAAGCGUGUGUAGGCGGAAUUGUAAGUACCUUGUGAAAUCCCACAGCUCAACUGUGGAACUGCUUGGUAUACUGCUUUUCUUGAGCCACUUAGGGGCUACCGGAACAAAUGGUGGAGCGGUGAAAUGCGUAGAUAUCAUUUGGAACGCCAAUGGUGAAAACAGGUAGCUGGGAGUGUGCUGACGCUGAGACACGAAAGCCAGGGGAGCGAACGGG
rnacentral:rRNA from 1 species